rnacentral:ncRNA from 1 species
UAGUAUCCGAUGAGAAGGAAAGUAGACAGAAAAUGGUUCAAGAGAGGCUUUGGUUGGUGUAAAAAGCUAGAAGUUGACUGUCGAAAAUGGCCUUAGAGGAUUUUUUGUCGAAAGGUAGGCAAAAACGAACAGUCUUUCGUUACCAAGACCACUGAUUUUAUUGUCAGGCUGAGAGAAAGAAUGUUUUUUCUGAAAAAAGGUGGUACCACGAGUAUAAUCGUCCUUUUA